GAUGCAUCCUCUAAUUUUAGGUAUUAUAGUCGUGAACACUUCUCUAACUGUCGUCUUCUGGGUCUUCAUUCUGGGCGACUCCUACAUGAAGUGGCAGACGGAACCAGAAGACAAACCCAAGAAGAUCGUCACUCCGGCCUGAGGGUCGAAAUGGACUGACUGAAACUGUUUUGUUUUUUGUUUUAGGACUAGUGAGUAAGGGCAGCAAGUAGUGCUUUCUGUCAAGUCUGCUUAUGAUCUUUCUGUUUCACCUACUUGCAAACUAACUAAACUGAAGGGAUCCUGCAACCAAUUGAGAAAGGAGUCCUUCUUACAGAGACGCCUGUGUACAACACUCACCAAUCCAGAAAUCCUUUCAUUUGCAAGUCAAAGAAAAUAACUGAGCAGCUUUUUCAACUCUUUAUCACAAGACUGGUUCCUUGGUCCCAAAAUAGUGGAGGAUAAUUCAGAGGAAGGGAGAGCGGAAACAGCAGAAGAGCACCGACUGAGCGCUUGCAGUAAGCUGAUGGGGAAAGACAGGAUGGAGAUGGAAAAAGAGGGCCUGCUGCCGGGUUUCUAUCCGGAAGAUGUGGACUACCACCGUCCAUCUGUCCAUCCUCCAUACCCCGGAGAAAAAAGAAUAUCUGCUCAUAGUGUGACCUUCACCUGCCCCAUGACCUCCUAUGCCACCGCCCCCUGAGUUCAGAUCACUUUUUUUGUUUUAGCAUAUUGAUCUGAUUUCAAUGCAUUGAUCAGAGUUGUCUCUUGCUGUAGUGAUGCUUAAUGCUAAGGUAAUUUAGUUUUAUAAAAAACACAUGUGGCUUAAAAUAACGUAAAGUUUGUACUUAUCUUAAUACGAAACAAAUGCUUACUUUGAUAACUUACAUAUUCCAUAAUGUCUCAUACAUUUUCUACAAACUUUCAAUAUGUUUAUGUGAGCUAAAGAAAUACACUAUAUUACAAUAACUUAAGUGUAAAUCCAAAGACUAUAUAUUUAUAUAUGUAUCUAUACAGUAUAUAAGAAAAGCUGAAUGAAAAUAUAAAGAAAGUUUUAUAAAAUUGUAUGAGAAUUACAAUCUGUUUAUUUCUUCACCGUCCAGUCAAAAUCAUAACCUGAAGUUUUCCAUAACGUCAGACGUGUUGCUGUAAUGUGUCAGGAAGAAAAAAGUGUAUCAGUGUUGUCUGUUCUGGUGUUGGACUAAGCUUCUCUUUAGUAAACAACUGAAUCAUA